CUUAGGGCUGGCUGCUGCCGCUGCCUCCCUGUAUCAAGAAUGAAGGUGUCCUGCAGUAAAGGCUGUUGAGAAGAAUCCAACCGUGUUGCAUCUUCCUUGCCGGCCGAGGUGACAAGUGGUGGCCCUGGACGGGGAACCGAGGACAUUCUCGUGGAUCACAGAACUCUUCAGCUUCAGGACGAGUGACCUCGGAAAGUUCUCGGAUAAGGGAGAUUUGAGUUAGUCAAGAUGAGCAAUCGUAAAAGCAAGAAUAACAUACAUGCAGAGUGUCUUUCCCAGGUACAAAGAAUUUUACGUGAAAGGUUUUGUCAUCAUACUCCUCAUAGCAACCUAUUUGGAGUGCAAGUACAAUACAAGCAUUUAAUUGAGCUACUCAAAAGAACUGCUAUCUAUGGAGAAAGUAAUUCUUUACUCAUUGUUGGACCACGAGGAUCAGG
rnacentral:lncRNA from 1 species